rnacentral:rRNA from 1 species
UACGGAGGGAGCUAGCGUUGUUCGGAAUUACUGGGCGUAAAGCGCGCGUAGGCGGCUAUUCAAGUCAGAGGUGAAAGCCCGGGGCUCAACCCCGGAACUGCCCUUUGAAACUAGAUAGCUAGAAUCUUGGAGAGGCGAGUGGAAUUCCGAGUGUAGAGGUGAAAUUCGUAGAUAUUCGGAAGAACACCAGUGGCGAAGGCGACUCGCUGGACAAGUAUUGACGCUGAGGUGCGAAAGCGUGGGGAGCAAACAGG